rnacentral:lncRNA from 1 species
GCUAUUAAUUUUGCUUCUGCAGAUAACUUUAAAAGUAUCCUUUUUUGUGAUUAUUAUUUUCUAAAGAGUUUUUGUUCUUUUAAAAAAUUUUUUUUCAGCCGCACCCAGGCCAUAUGGAAAUUCCUGGGCCAGGGAUUGAACUCGAGCCAUAGCAGUGACAACACCAGAUCCUUAACCCACUGAGCCACCAAGGAACUCCGACUUUGUUUUAUGCUUGAUUUACUUCUUGUUCUAAGGGUAAUUUGAGAUGUUUUUUGUGUUUUUCAAUUUCUAAGUGGUGUGUUUUAUAUUAUUGUUAGUUGUGUUACAUUUUGAUCCAAGACUGACUUCUAGAAUUUCCACUUUUCAAAAGGUACCAAAAUAUUCUCUGUAGCUUAAUAUUUAUUGAAUUCUGUCGCUGUCUAUGAAACUUGAAAUAAGGUACACUAUCUGUGUUCAGGGUAAAAAAUUUAUAUGUUCAUAUCUUUUAUGCCCUUAUUUAUUUUUUGAUUACUUGUUCAGAAAAUGUGUUAGAAUAUUUCUAAUAAAACUGUUUCUCAGAUCGGGAGGCUGGAGCCCCAGUGGCUGGGUUGCUAUCCCAGCUUUGGCUUAUUUGCAGCCACAACGACUUUCGGUUCAAAGGCUGGUUAUAAGGAUUUAAUGAAUGAAUACCCGUAAGCACGAAAGAGUGUUUGACACAAUACGUGCGCAAUAAAUGCGCAUUAACAUCGUUAUUACGUUUACUGCUACCAGUUAAAGGCCUGUUGGAAGGACCUGUGAUGGUUCAGUGUGCCAUGAACCCAACUAGAAUCUGUGAGGUUGCGAGUUUGGUCCCAGACUUCACUCAGUAGGUUAAGGAUCUGGCUUGUUGGUGUGAGCUGUGGUGUAGAGUAUGGUAGUGGCUGUGGUGUAAAACAGCAGCUACAGUUCAGAUUAGACCCGUAGCUUGGGUACUUCCAUACACCACAGGUGUGGCCCUAAAAAGAUGAAAUAAAUAAGGGCUGUUGAUAGCAUGUUGGUGUUGUGACAUAAACAUAUGGUAGAGAUGAUGGAGAGGAUUCUUGCUCUGGUCCUUACAGACCUUAUCUCUGUCUGCGAAGGGAGAUUUAUUCCUAUCCUAUAGAUAACUGAGCAUAUGUCAGCCUCUAAUUUGAAUGCAAGGCUCUGUGAUUCCACAGUAUAAGCCUCUUCUCUGCGUUGCCUUUCUUUUAAAAAGUUUUCUGGGUCUUCCAAACUUUUAAAGCAUUAAACCGCACAGUGAUGGGUGUGCUUGCUGUGGCUCAGUGGUUAAUGAAUCUGGCUAAGAACCAUGAGGUUGUGGGUUUGAUCCCUGGCCUUGCUCAGUGGGUUAAGGAUCUAGUGUUAUGAUGAGCUGUGGUGUAGGUUGCAGCUGUGGCUUGGAUCUGCUGUGGCAUAGGCUGGUGGCUACAGCUCUGAUUUGACCUCUAGCCUGGGAACCUCCAUAUGCCCCAGGUGUGGCUCUAAAAAAGGGAGAAAAAGUGUGUUAGUCAAAUGAUGUAUGUUUGGUAACUUCUUGGGCUAAAGUUUGCCAUGCUUGUUUUUGUUUGCCUUCUGAGGUUUGUUUUCUAACCAACACAUGGGCAAGAGAGAAAGAAACCUGACUUUGCAGGUGCGAAAUUUUGAAACACUGUAAUGCUUUGACCUAAGUUCACAUCAUGUGAUCUGACUUGGAAAAGGACAAAAUUUGCCAGUGAGGUCCAAACCUCCUGACUCCAUGGAAGGGAAGGACAAAAACUGGGGGACAGGAAGUUACAAUUAAAAAAAGGGGGGAUAUUAAGAACACAAACCAGGAGUUCCUGUUGUGUGGUUAAUGAGUUGGACUAGGAACUAUGUGGUUGUGGGUUUGAUCCCUGGCCUUUGUUUAGUGGUUUAAGGCUCUGGUGUUGCUGUGAGCUGUGGUGGUAGGUUGUUGCUGUGGCUCUGGUGUAGGCUGGUGGCUUACAGCUAUGUGCCAUGGGAGUGGCCCUAGGAAAGGCAAAGAUGACCAAAAAAACAACAAAGGCCUGGAAUCCUCAGGUUUUGACUCAGCUGAAUUUUAAAUCAGGCUAUCAAAUUGGUGACUUGUGAGUAUGAUGACAUGGUGUAAGAAAUACUGAGGAUGGUGGGAUCUACCAGACUGCAUUAAAUCGCAGCUCUUACCUAACAGGGUGACCUUGAGUAAGGUACUUCAUGUAUUUGAGUUUAUGCUUCAGUGUAAAGAAGGCAGUGUGAUAGCUAUAUGUGCCAGGGUUAUAGGAAAAACUGAAGGAACUCAUGGAAGAUGCUUGGCACAAAAGAUGUUAAAAAUGAAGCGUUCUCACUGUGGUUACAGGGGUUAAGGAUCUGGUGUUGCUGAGGCACUGGCUUGGAUUUGCUCUCUUGCCUGGGAGUGUCCACAUGCCUCUGUAGGGCUGUAGGCCCCAGACUUAUGAGAAAGGAGGAGAUGCUGUGUACCUACCCAUCUCAUCAAAAUGUCAUGAGGAGAUUGGACAGGACUUUCUCCCAAGCCUCACAUGAACGAUGUAGUCAAUGUUUGCUUGGACCUCUAGAAAGCUCAGCAAAUGUAUAACCUGUGUUUAGCGGCUAUGAGUCUCUUACUAGAUGCCAAGCACCUGUUGGGUAUGGCUCAAGUCCUGUUUGAAACCAAGAAAGACAUCUAAUCAUAGGAGUUCCUGCUGUGGCCAGGGGGUUAAGGAUCUGGUGUUGCUGUUUUGGCAGCUCUGAUUGGGGCACAUCCAUGUUCUAUGGCUGCAGGAGAGAGAAAGGAAUGAAGAAAAGUGUUAAUACCUGUAGCCAUGAAUUUUAGGAAAAGGCUGUAUAGUUUUGCUUUUUCUUAUGAACUAUUUCUUGUAUGAGGAAAUAAGCAAAUCCUCAAAACAAGAGGCUUUUUAGCAGUUAGAAGUCAUUACUAGUCAAGUGAUUAAUAACCCUUAUAAAGGUCAAGUUCUAAGCCCUCCUAGAGAGAAAGUUGUAAUUACUAGGAGAUCAGAAGGAACUUUGUAGUACCUGACAACUCUGGUGUCGUUUAAACAGUAAAAAUGGAGUUCCCAUCAUGGCUCAGGGGAAAGGAAUAUGACUAGGAAUCAUGAGGUUUUGGGUUGAAUCCCUGGCCUUGCUCAGUGGAUUAGGGAUCUUGCAUUGCCAUGAGCUGUGGUGUAGGUUGCAGAUGCCGCUUGGAUCUGGUGUGGCUGGGGAAUAGGCGGGGCAGCUGUGUAACUUUCAAUAGAAGACCCCUACCCUGGGAACCUCCGUAGGCUGUGGGUGUAGCCCUAAAAAGCUUAAAUGAAAAGUAGUGGUAUUAUAAAGCUUUUAAAAGUAAAAUCAAGUGUAUUUUUCACCUAGCCCUUUGUUCAGCUUUUUUUGUUUGUUUUUAGGCUGUCUCUAUGGCAUAUGGAGGUUCCUGAGGGUUGAAGUGGAGCUGGAUGCAGGCUUCCAUAUACCACAGCUGCUUGGGAUCCAAGCUGCAUCUUCAACCUGCACAACAGCUCCUGGCAAUGCUGGAUCCUCUACCCCCCACUGAGUGAGGCCAGGGAUCAUACAUAACCUGUAUCCUCCAGGGAUCUUAGAUUUGCUUUCUCUGUGGCCCAGUGGGAAAUCCUUAGUUCAGCCGUGUUUGCAUUUUAUUGUAUUUCCUUUCUGUAUUUUUCCCAAGCUUAAACAGAAAAAUUGUUUUUUUAUUGUUGUUGCUUCAUUGUCUUCCCAGUGCUCCAAACAGUUACCAUUUUAAAAGUUUCUCCUUUGUAAAUUAGAAAUCAUGUAGCAGGACAAGUGGUUACCAAAGUCAAGUCUCCAGAUUCUCAGUUCUGCUCCUCAGAAGUAACUACUGUUUCCAGACACCUAUGUGAGUGCCCCACAAUAGUUGAGAUGUACACAGAAGUUAUGCAUGGAGUCUACCUCUUGUGGGUGGAGAACACUGGGUUGACCCUGUCAUUUUGCAGAUGAAGGAACUGAGGCCCUGAAAGGUUAGUGGCUAGAGUUAUUUCACACUAUACCUUAAUACAGAUUUUGUUUUAUUUUUGUAUGUAUUUAUAUGUGUGUAUAUAUAUACAUUCACUUAAGUAUGUUAAUUUUAUGCACUCCUAAAUGUCAUGUGGUCUUCAGUAACUUUGUUUUUACACAAGGAAAAUAAGUUCCAAAUGAGAUGGGGGGGGAGGCACAGAUGGUUCAGGCAGGAAAUGCUAUAAAAUUUGGUUGUGAUGACUGUUGUACACCUAUGAAAAUGUAAUAGCAUUGAGCUGCUCUUUAGGAAUGAGGUCCUCAAAUGUGAGAUGAGAG